rnacentral:ncRNA from 1 species
UUAUUUUAUUUUGGUUAAUAUUUUUGUUAUUAUUUUAUUUUACAUGUAAAUUUUUGUGUGAAUUAAUUUAAUUUUUAAUAAAUUAUUUUAUUUUCUUUUAUUCGCAGUAAUUAAUAUUAAUAGUAAAAAGAAAUUUUGUAUUAGUAAUAAUAUAUAGUAUUGGUAAAAUUUGUGCCAGCUACCGCGGUUAUACAAAUAAUACAAAUAAAAAUUUUUAAUAUUAGUUAAAUUGAAAUUUUUAUAAUAUAAAUUUAAAUUUAUUAGGUGAAAUUUUUAAAUUUAUUAAUGGUUAUAUUAAAAAUUAAUUUAAGCUAUAAACUUUUUAUAAUAAACUAGGAUUAGAUACCCUAUUAUUGAAAAUAAAAAUUAAAAUGUUAAAGUAGUAAUAGUUAUAUUCUUUAAAUUUAAAAAAUUUGGCGGUAUUUUAGUCUAUUUAGAGGAAUUUGUCCUGUAAUUGAUAAUCCCCAUUGAACCUUACUUAAAUUUAUUUAGUUUGUAUAUCGUCGUCAUCAGAAUAUAUUAUAAGAUUUAGAUUUUCUUAAUAUUUAAUUAAAUAGUAUGUCAGAUCAAGGUGCAGUUUAUAUUUAAGUAGAGAUGAAUUACAAUAAAUUUAUUUAAACGGAGAAUUUUUUGAAAUAGAAAUUUUAAGGUGGAUUUAAUAGUAAUAUAAAAUAGAUUAUUUAUAUGAUUAUAGCUCUAAAAUAUGCACAUAUCGCCCAUCGUUCUUGUUUUUAAAACAAGAUAAGUUGUAACAUAGUAGAUGUAUUGGAAAAUGUAUCUAGAAAGA